AAAAAUAAAAAAGGAAGGACACAUAUAGAAGGGGGUAAAAGAGGAGAGAGGAUAAGGGGUUUACCGGCCGCCUCCUCGCCGUCGCCGCCGGCUGCCAGAGUGGGUGCCUGAGACCUCCUCGCCUUGGGCCUAGGCGGCGCUCGUACGGGAGGGAGGGGAGGAGAUAGAAGCGGCCCGCCAACCAACAGGAUAUGGUCUUCGCACAUAAGGGGUUGCUGGGCGUGCCGCAGGCCGCUCCCGCGAAGCGACCACCAAGACCCGUGCGUACCCGCCGCCAACCGCGCCUCGUCGGAGUGCCGGUGCUCCUUCCUCGCCGAGAGUGUCGGCGCAUCCAUCGAUGCCGCCGCCGUAGAUCUCUAAAUUCUCGCUCUCCAAGCUCUCGGGGCUUAGAUAUGGCUGGGGAGGCCGGCCGAAGAUCCACGAGGACGGGAGGGGAACCAUGAAGACGGGACGGGAGGAGGCCUAUGGGCAGGAAGAGGAGCGCUCGGAGAGAAACAGGGAAGAAGCAACGGCACGAAUCGUUCAAGUACCCCACCUUGGAGGGCGAAUCGACCUUCUGGCUAUGGCGGACCGGGGGGCUGGGAGCAGGGACGUGCCCCAAGCAAUUGGAACUGGCAGGCUCUGCAGCAAUUCCGGUCACCGCCACCGAUGCAAGGUGGUCCGAUCCAGUACCAGGUACCUCCUCCAGAUCCCUAUGGACAUCAUGGUAGGGGAUUUAUCGGUUGGGAUCCGCGCAAUCAUUGUGGUGGGGGGCACUUCAAUGCCGGCUCUCAGGGCCCCGGGAUCCAAGGGCAGGAGCAGUUCUACCGCCGCCGGUUGGAUUUGGAGGACCUGGACCUGGUCAAUUCGCAGCUGCAACAGGGACUUCGGUUCCAUCUGGAGUUCAGAAGCAACCAACUGUUUCGUUUGGACCUUUGACAGGUGGUGGAGGUUCUGCUUCGGUUCUUAGUGCAAAUAGCUCAUCACAGGCCAAUACUCUGUCUGGUGGUCAGCAGCAAUCUUCGGCCACUUCAGAUGUUUCCAAGCCUGUGGCAGAGAGUGGUAAAAGCUGUGGUUAAGCAUUGCUAUAGAUGUGAGAUGCCGGGACAUGGUGUUAAGGAAUGUAAGACAGUCCUACUUUGUGAGAUCUGUGCCAAGGAUACUCAUCUUACCUCUAAGUGUGCCUUCCCUAAUCAACCAAAACCGACAGUUCAGCUUGCUGGGUCUGCGCCAGAUGGUUUGCGGAUGUUUGUAGCUCCAAUUGUAAAGAAGGCAACUGUGGACAGUAGGAAUGCUAUGGCUAUUAUCAAUGUACACUCUGGUUAUAUCACAGCUGAUCAGUUAGUGAAGGCUUUCAACCGAAUGUUCCAGUGAGGAUGGGUUUGGGCUGCUAAAGAUUAUGCUCAUGGCAGUUUUCUUAUGAAGUUCCCUUCUGUUCAGAAAAUUACUGAGCUGAAUCAGUUCAAUAACUUCAAUCUGGUGGGUGAGAGGGCUGAAGUAGUAGUAUCUAGAUGGCCCCCUGAAAAUUUGGCUACCUUCAAGCUGACUAGUGUUUGGGUUAGGGUUUGUGGAGUUCCUGAUGACUUGAUGAAUUACAAUGGGUUCUGCUUGGUGGGUUCUCUGUUAGGUACUGUGCAAGAAUUGGAUAUGCCCACUUACAGGAAGAUGGAGAUCGUCAGAAUCAAAGUUGGGGUGAUGGAUCACACAAAGAUUCCAGAAUGGUCUCCUUUGACUGUGGACCCACAUAUCUACAAGAUCUACUUUCAGAUUGAAAAGGUGGUAGAAAUGGAAGGACCUUUGAUUGGUGGGAUCCCAAUUCAGAGAGGCCCUGCUCAGAGUAACAAAGCUCAAGAUAGAGGUGUAGACAGAGAGUUAAAGAGACAGAAACGCCAUGUCUGAGAAUGAGUGUUUGGACUCACCUGGGGGGCAGAGGGGAGGAUCUAGAAAACUGUUGAGUCUAAUGAAGAGGACGAGGAGAUGGUACCAUCUAGUCAACCUGAUAUAGAUGCUCUUGAUAUUUCUGGCAACAAAAGUACUGUUGUUGCUAAACCUGGUUCUUCUGCUGUGCAAGAGAUAAAUAAGAGAUUUGCUGCUGAUGCUGCUAGGAUGGAAGAGGUUGACUGUUCUGAAACUGAUGAUGAGGGGGAGAAUUAUGAGGAAUAUCAGUCCCAAACAGCAACACAAUUUGCAAAGGUUGUGGUCUUAUCUCUCAGCAAAUUGAAGAUAUUAAAACUCCUGAUCCUUCUCCAGAACAUGAGCAUGUCAUCCCCAUUGGCACUCAGGAGGCUCCUCUGAACAUAGGGGGCCUUGGCACUCCUAAAAGGGCUUAUGCUGAUGUGGUUGGGGGAAGUGGACAGAAGUUAUCUAUUCAGCCUAAGGUGGUCAAUAAAGAUGGAAAGAGCAAAAAGCAAGUCCCAGUGGAUGAUGGUCAUAGGCGCAAGAGUAGCAGGCACCAAAAUGAUGAUAAAGCAACAUUGGACAAAGCUAUGGAAAGAGCUAGGAUGAAGAAUUUGGAGCAGACAGAACCCUGAAUCUCGAAGGAGGAUGCAGAAUGCUGCUGUGCUGCUGCGAGUAAUGGUGAUUAAUGUGUUUGGUAGAUCGCAUGGCUAGGGUUUAAUGAAGCGUUUGGCUGCCGGCUGAUGGUGUGCUGCCUGGCUUGGUUCUUAGACUGUUUUGGUCCUUAUAUUGAACACUUUGGUUUGCUCUAUGUGAUGUAUUGGUUGUUUCGAAUUUGGCUGGCAGUCGGCAGUGCUGUCAGUUUUCCUUUUUCUUUUUUAAACCUUUAGAAUAUUAAACCAUGUUGGUUCCAUUAAUUGGAACGGGGAGCGUGCUCCUUUUGUCUAAAAGAAAAAAAAUCGUUCAAGUACAAGAAA